rnacentral:rRNA from 1 species
CGAUUAGGAAGCACCGGCUAACUCCGUGCCAGCAGCCGCGGUAAUACGGAGGGUGCGAGCGUUGUUCGGAAUUAUUGGGCGUAAAGUGCGUGUAGGCGGUUUGGUAAGUCUGAUGUGAAAGCCCCGGGCUCAACCUGGGAAGUGCAUUGGAAACUGUCAGACUUGAAUACGGGAGAGGGUAGUGGAAUUCCUAGUGUAGGAGUGAAAUCCGUAGAUAUUAGGAGGAACACCGGUGGCGAAGGCGGCUACCUGGACCGAUAUUGACGCUGAGACGCGAAAGCGUGGGGAGCAAACAGGAUUAGAUACCCUGGUAGUCCACGCCGUAAACGAUGAGUACUAGGUGUUGCGGGUA